CAAGUACUCCCUCCGUCCCAAAAUAAGUGACUCAAGUUUGUACUAAUUUUAAUAUAAAGUUAGUGUAAAUUUGAGUCAAUUAUUUUGGGACGGAGGGAGUAUAAU
rnacentral:pre_miRNA from 1 species